GGUUCGCGCAGAAAUAGGGACCGGCGGGAGUUCUGUGUGAAGGGGAAGCCUGGAGGGCCUGUUGGAUCACGUCUGCGUUCUCAUGGAUGGCGGGGGCAAGAGGUUCGCAGCAAGUUGCAGGAUACCCUGAGUUUAGUUAUUUCCAGGCCAAUGUGGUUAUAGAGCAGGAUCACUGCGAGGCUCUCUGUGGCUGGACCGGUGUUGCUGCGUAGUGAUGCCUUCUACUCAAAGCAUUUAGAAUUGCAUUUAGAAUUGCCUUCAGGUAUAACAAAUGUUGACGCUGGGCCUGGGGGUUCAAGCCUUUAAUUCCAGCUACUCAAGUGUUUGUGGCAAGUUCAAGACCUGCCUGGGAUGUAAAGUUCAGCCCAGUUUGAACGGCAGUCUCCCCUUCUCAAUUAAGGACAACUUUAUCCUUUCUGUUGCUUGUGGGGGUCCCUGCAAAUGCUACAGCCAGCAGGAAAAUGGAUGGCAAGAGGUAAGAAGGGAAAUCAGGUUCAGCACAACUUGGCCAGUGCAUGACCAGACUUCUAGAGUCUGACGCUGGGCAGUUGAUUUUAGACAUAUUUAAGUACAACACGAUUUUGGAAAAAAGUUUCCUGGUGACAGUUAUCUCAAUCCCGUGUGCACAAUUAAGCUUUAGGUGUGACUACAUCAAAACUCUUUGCCCAAGUACAUGUGACCUCUACCGUGAGGAUGGAUUCUAUAGUUCAAGAGUCUAGGGUCGCCGGGCGAUGGUGGCGCACGCCUUUAAUCCCAGCACUCGGGAGGCAGAGCCAGGCGGAUUUCUGUGAGUUCGAGGCCAGCCUGGACUACCAAGUGAGUUCCAGGAAAGGUGCAAAGCUACACAGAGAAACCCUGUCUUGAAAGACCAAAAAAAAAAAAAAAAAAAAGAGUCUAGGGUCUGGUGUGGUCUGUGAUCAAGAUAGCAUAGAGGUCACCAGGCUAUAAAGUACAUGUGACAUCUCCCCUACAGAUGGGUUCUAUUGACUGAGAAACAAAGCUAAAGGUAAAGGCCUAGGGAGGGAAAGUCUGGGAUAAAGAUUCUGGCGGAUUCAAGCCCGGCCUUACAGGUUAUUAACCGCAUCCAGUCCCAGUCUUCUGAGGGGGAAAGAGGUCUACACAUUCCUUGAAGAGAUAAGCCUGUGUGCUUAACAUUCCUGGUUUUCCUAGUGUUUUCACAGCCGUCCUCCCCUCCCCACCCUCUCUCAUAUUCCAUGUUCAAUGCAUCUUGCAAAUCUUGCUGGCUCUACUCCAGAAAUAGCCCCAUAAGCUAGGUCUCGCCACCUUGUCUCCAUCAUUCCCGUCUACCCCGACAUCUCAUCUGCACUGUCAUAGCUACUACUUUCCGCUCUCCUGGUUUCCUUUAAAACCUUAUUUAUACGAUUACAUUUGAGUCUAGACUAGGUCCGUUGCCUGACGGCACAUUAACUCGACUUAGAAACACAGCUCUGGUGAGCAGAUGAAAGCCCUUCACAGACUAUGCGAUCUUUCAUCACAGGGGGGUUGAUUUUUGCAAGGCUCCUUUGUAAAUGGAAAAGCAGGACUUCAAAGGAGAAGGAACAGAGCAGCCUCGGGCUCCUGGAACAGGGGACUCAGCAGCUGAAAUCCUGCUUUUUUUCUCUUGAUCUUUUGCCUGGGGUUUGAGGUAGGAAAUUCUCUGGCUUAGUUAUAUCCCGGCCUAUCUAGGCUUUGCAGACGGAUGUGUUUGAAGCUCCUUUUUUCACAGCCAUGAGGUUUGUUUGUAGUUCACCUCCUGUUCUGUUUGCUUCACUGCCCAGAUCACUAUCUCAGAAGCCCUACCCACCCCAUCCUGCACUUGCACUUUGCCAGUCAGAGCCAGAAGCAUCAUUGUGGAUCCUCCAGUAUAGGCUUCAUCAAGCAAAAUCUAAACUGAGGCACACUAUA